AAACUUUCAACAACGGAUCUCUUGGCUCUGGCAUCGAUGAAGAACCAGCGAAAUGCGAUACGUAAUGUGAAUUGCAGAAUUUAGUGAAUCAUCGAAUCUUUGAACGCACAUUGCGCCCCUUGGCAUUCCGAGGGGCAUGCCUGUUCGAGCGUC
rnacentral:rRNA from 1 species